GCUGUCAACUGGGAACCAGGCAAACAAUACACUACUGAAAGAGAAUUAGAACAUCUGCCUAGAGUCCCUUAGUUAAUGGCAUAACCUGGAUUCUGUAGCUGUAUAAAAUCCCACCUCUCCCGUGAUAUGAUUCAUUGUCAGCUUUCUGAUGCCUCAUGGUCACAAGAUGGAAGCCAGGAGACUGGAGUUUUCCAUAAUUACUGAGCAAAUUUUCUGAGUACUAUGCACACUGGACUGGCCUAGAGCAAAUCUUUUGUUUAAGAUUAUAAACUGAGGCCAAGAGAAGGAAACAAAUGGACUAUAUAUACAGUGACAGAAUAAAUACCAUGUGCCAGCAGUGACCUAGGACCUUUACACGCAUGAUCCCAUUACGUCCUUGCAAGAAGCCUGUAAGGUAGUUUGAGAAGCCUGCUUCAUGAUCUAGAUGUGGCUACUGAUUCCUGUCCAGUAAGUGCACGACCGUCCGUGGUUCUCAUCUUCUUUGUCAGUGCCUGGUCAACUUGGGGGCUGUCUGGACACUCCUGUGUUACUGCAAGAGGGCGUUUCUGAAUAGAGCUCAAGGACCGGGCAGUCACAUGUGAGCUCUCUUUCGUUUUACCUGCAGCAGGACUGGAUGCCACAGCCUUUCUGGCUUCAGAGUGAAUCUCCUUUGGGAGCAGUAGACCUUUGUCCAUCUAGUAACUGGCACACAUUUUGGCUCACACCCCAGGAUAUUUCACCUAGCCUGUACCCAAAAUUCAG